AGUGGACGCUGGCGGUAGGCCUAACACAUGCAAGUCGAACGGCAGCACAGUAAGAGCUUGCUCUUACGGGUGGCGAGUGGCGGACGAGUGAGGAAUACAUCGGAAUCUACUUUUUCGUGGGGGAUAACGUAGGGAAACUUACGCUAAUACCGCAUACGACCUACGGGUGAAAGCAGGGGAUCUUCGGACCUUGCGCGAUUGAAUGAGCCGAUGUCGGAUUAGCUAGUUGGCGGGGUAAAGGCCCACCAAGGCGACGAUCCGUAGCUGGUCUGAGAGGAUGAUCAGCCACACUGGAACUGAGACACGGUCCAGACUCCUACGGGAGGCAGCAGUGGGGAAUAUUGGACAAUGGGCGCAAGCCUGAUCCAGCCAUACCGCGUGGGUGAAGAAGGCCUUCGGGUUGUAAAGCCCUUUUGUUGGGAAAGAGAAGCAGCAGGUUAAUACCCCGCUGUUCUGACGGUACCCAAAGAAUAAGCACCGGCUAACUUCGUG
rnacentral:rRNA from 1 species